CAGCGCGGCCGCGGGCGGCAGCCGGGGCGGGCUGCACCUGCCGCCACCGCGGGCUCCAUGGCAACCGCGCCGUAGCGCGGCGGCCGCGCCGAAGGGGUCGCGAAAGAGCGGAAACCCACGAGGCGCGGCGGGCGCCGGGCCGGAGGGCGGCUGCGGGGCCGCCGCGCUGAGGUGACAUGGUGCCUGUCUCUCCCCCCCCCCGGCCCGCCACCGCGCUGAGGGGUCGCAGUGAAGUUCAUUAUGUCUCUGGGACUGCUGCAGCUGGACACCAGCAUCUCUGGGGAAGGGAAGGUGGUUGAAGCAUCAGGCUACCCUGUACGUCUCAGACUUGAUGUACAUCUAAGGCCAUGAAACACUCUUUGAAGUCAUCCCAAGUCAUUUUUAUAAGGAAAUCACCCACCAAUAACUACAGGCUACUUCCAUUUCUUACCUGCAGGGCUGCUUGGCACAUGUCUACUAAGCCCUGAAUGAGAUAAUAUUUGGCUUCUGCCAUCAACUCUUUGACCUCCUGUCUGUGUUUUGGAAGUGCAAUUGUGUCAUCUCGGAGAUAGUUUAGAAUUGUUCCAAAGUGCUUCCCACAACGGUCUAUAAGGAUCCAGCCUAAAAAAUAACCAUCAUAACAUUUCAAUCACCUUAACACUGGCAGGCAAACAAUAUUUCUUCAGAGGGAUUAAACAUGGGAAGUGUAUUCAAGCCUCAUAAGCUCACAGAGCCCACUGAAACUUCCCUGAAACUGCAUAUGAUUUGUUUCCCAUUUCAUUUAAUGGAAGUCUUUACUGACUUUGAGCAAACUGAAUUUGGUUACAGAACAGAAAAUAACAAGGAAAUUGCUCUUUUGGUACCACCUGUAUAUUCUCGCUACUUUUCAGCACCCCAGAAGAAAAAUCCAGCUUAAAAACAAACAAACAAAAAAUCAAAAACACUCAGCUUUCUCUGAAGAGACAUUAAAAUCCCUGCAAGAACCUGACUAUAUUGUGUCUAUUGAUCAGUCCAUGUGUGGCCUGACCAAAAUUAUUUUCUUUGUUUGAUCCUUUCUGUAUUAGGAAUGGAUCUUUUUAACUACUAUAUAAAAUUAUCAGUUUGCAUUUUUACAGAGCUCUAUUUAACUACCUGACCAAGCAGUUCAAACCUUAAAAAAAGCUUAUUGUUAGGUAAGCUGCUUGUUUUAUUUAGACGCCCAGCAUACUCAUGGCAAAAUAGAGUUUCACUAUAUUUGUAAGGAAAUAAACGUAAAAACUGUU